rnacentral:rRNA from 1 species
GUGGNUUUAUGACGCUGCGGAGGCCUAACACAUGCAAGUCGAACGGUAGCACAGAGGAGCUUGCUCCUUGGGUGACGAGUGGCGGACGGGUGAGUAAUGUCUGGGAAACUGCCCGAUGGAGGGGGAUAACUACUGGAAACGGUAGCUAAUACCGCAUAACGUCGCAAGACCAAAGAGGGGGACCUUCGGGCCUCUUGCCAUCGGAUGUGCCCAGAUGGGAUUAGCUAGUAGGUGGGGUAACGGCUCACCUAGGCGACGAUCCCUAGCUGGUCUGAGAGGAUGACCAGCCACACUGGAACUGAGACACGGUCCAGACUCCUACGGGAGGCAGCAGUGGGGAAUAUUGCACAAUGGGCGCAAGCCUGAUGCAGCCAUGCCGCGUGUAUGAAGAAGGCCUUCGGGUUGUAAAGUACUUUCAGCGAGGAGGAAGGNGUUGUGGUUAAUAACCGNAGCNAUUGACGUUACUCGCAGAAGAAGCACCGGCUAACUCCGUGCCAGCAGCCGCGGUAAUACGGAGGGUGCAAGCGUUAAUCGGAAUUACUGGGCGUAAAGCGCACGCAGGCGGUCUGUCAAGUCGGAUGUGAAAUCCCCGGGCUCAACCUGGGAACUGCAUCCGAAACUGGCAGGCUAGAGUCUUGUAGAGGGGGGUAGAAUUCCAGGUGUAGCGGUGAAAUGCGUAGAGAUCUGGAGGAAUACCGGUGGCGAAGGCGGCCCCCUGGACAAAGACUGACGCUCAGUGCGAAAGCGUGGGGAGCAAACAGGAUUAGAUACCUGGGUUNCA